AUUUUUAAUGAGCAGGCAUCCUUUAACCUAAAUAUCAGCACAAUCUUUGGAUUUUUAGAUCUCCUUCCAUGAUAGUUUUGUCAUUACUUUCCAAUCAGAAAGUGGACUUCUCCCCUUUAUUUAGAGGUUUAAUUUCCAAUCAAGCACAUUGCACAAUGACAAAGUGUAUUUACCUUUGAGCUUAAUCUCUAUGAUAAAGUAGAGCAAUAAGUCGAGGAUAUUUGAUGUUUAAUUACAGUAUUAGACUCUUGGGUAUUAUGUGUUACAACUUGCAACAGGAAUGGCAUACAACAGAGGAGGA
rnacentral:misc_RNA from 1 species